CCUACGGGAGACAGCAGUGAGGAAUAUUGGUCAAUGGGCGAGAGCCUGAACCAGCCAAGUCGCAUGAAGGAUGACGGCCCUACGGGUUGUAAACUUCUUUUGUCAGGGAGCAAUUGGGUCCACGCGUGGGCUUAGCGAGAGUACCUGAAGAAAAAGCAUCGGCUAACUCCGUGCCAGCAGCCGCGGUAAUACGGAGGAUGCGAGCGUUAUCCGGAUUUAUUGGGUUUAAAGGGUGCGUAGGCGGAAUAUCAAGUCAGCGGUAAAAAUUCGGGGCUCAACCCCGUCGUGCCGUUGAAACUGAUGGUCUUGAGUGGGUGAGAAGUAUGCGGAAUGCGUGGUGUAGCGGUGAAAUGCAUAGAUAUCACGCAGAACUCCGAUUGCGAAGGCAGCAUACCGGCGCCCAACUGACGCUGAAGCACGAAAGCGUGGGUAUCGAACAGGAUUAGAUACCCGAGUAGUC
rnacentral:rRNA from 1 species